rnacentral:rRNA from 1 species
AUUGAACGCUGGCGUCAGGCUUAACACAUGCAAGUCGAGCGAGUGGCGGACGGGUGAGUAAUGUCUGGGAAACUGCCUGAUGUAUGUGUAUAACUACUGGAACCGGUAGCUAAUACCGCUUACCAUCAGCUUUGCCCAGAUGGUAUUAGCUAGUAGGUGGGGUAAUGGCUCACCUAGGCGACGAUCCCUAGCUGGUCUGAGAGGAUGACCAGACACACUGGAACUGAGACACGGUCCAGACUCCUACGGGAGGCAGCAGUGGGGAAUAUUGCACAAUGGGCGCAAGCCUGAUGCAGCAAUGCCGCGUGGGUGAAGAAGGCCUUCGGGUGGUAAAGCACUUUCAGCGGGGAGGCGUUACUCGCAGAAGAAGCACCGGCUAACUCCGUGCCAGCAGCCGCGGUAAUAC